GAGCAAUAACACACAGUUUGCCAAGGAAUCUGCACUGAAUAAUACUGGUAGUGACCACCACGAGAAUAUGCCUCUCUAACUGCAAGGAACAUGAGUGACCCAGGGUUUCCGUUGCUGCCUUGGAAAUUCAUCACAGUUUCUGGGGUCUGGGAAGUCCAGCAUCCAAGGUUCUGGCAAGUUUGGUGUUUGUGAAGGCUGCUCUCUGCUUCCGAGAUGGCACCUUGAACACUGCAUCCUCUGGAAGAGAGGAAUACGAUUUCUUCAUGUGGUAGAAAGAACAGAGGGAUGUCUGCCUGCAGCACACGUCAGGAUGCUGAAUUUAUUAGUGUUUCCUCUUCUCCGGUGCCGGCUUUCCUUGAGCCACAUUAUCAUUAUCUCACACAGAGCUGUUGGAAUUACUUCGUGAUGAUUUCAAAGAAAAUUUUCUUCUCUAAACACUCUUAUCCCAAGAUCUGUCACGUCCAGAGGGUCUUCUGCCUUGCAAGGGGAAACAGUGAAUGCACAUCUGGCCCUUCAUUUCACAGAAGUUGGCAGAUAGCUCAGUUAGAGACAGAUUUAUGGAAAAGAGAACUACUCUAUUUUCAAACACAUCAAAAAAAGAAAACUGAAACCAGCGACAUGGAGAAGUUGCCAUUCUCCCUGAGUCACCGUAACACCUCUGCAGGUGGGACUCUGAGGUCAUUAGCACUGGGGUGGCUUAUCCUCUGUUCAGCUCCUGUGCCACAACGUAAGACAGGAAUCCUGCCAGGAGGAGGACUUGGGUCCUGGCUCCUAACCACCCCCGUUGGACUCCAGCUGCCAGAGCCGCCCAAAGAAGAGAGCAUGCCGCCUGGCUUUAAGAAAGCUUGCAGCCCCUGAGAGUGGCAGGUUAAAAACCUAUAGGAUGGUUCAAUCAAAGGCAAUGCCUUGCUCCGUCCUGUGCUGCUAUUGUACGUUGGAACACAUGCUGCUAGGAGACAAAGAGGACAUGCGUUUAUUUUCAAGCGUAGGACUUUGGAACCACUUGGGAAGAAUAUUCUUGAUUGAGAACCAAAACAUUCCAUGAUGCUUAACAAACCUGCAAAUUGAAAAAUCAGCAUCAGCCUGUGCAGCCAGGAGGCAGGAGAAGGACCUAUACCCUGAAAAAAAAAUCAAAAUUUUCCUUAAAUGAUAUUUGUGUGCAUUUACAAAAUUACCGCUUUCUGAAUCAAAGUCUCAAGCUGUUUUCAUCUGAGAACAUAUGUUGUGCCGUUAGACAAUAUCUCAGCCUGCCGCCAUCCAUGACAUACCCUGCCGCAUUGCAUAAUGGACAGUCCCUUGAAAAAGGAGCUGCAGCUCAGUCAAUGCCCCUGUAAUAAUAUUUUAAAAUAAAUGAUAUGCAUCAUUAAAUCA
rnacentral:lncRNA from 13 species